GUGGCGGGCAUAUACGAUAACUUACUAGCAAGCAGUAAAAUUUCACAGCAAAAACAACAAGAUUUAUGUAAUUAACAUUAAAUUUAUUUUCGUUUUUACACUCACCUUGACGCGUCGUGACUCUUCUCUCCGCUUCCAUGGCCGCUGCAAUACCAAAUAUACCGGCAACGUGAUUAUGUCACACACAAAAGCGAGCACUUUGAUAGCACCGAUUGCGCUCUGCACCCAGAAGCUUUCCAUUCUGACAAUUAGAUACAAAAUGAAAGUGCAUGCCAUUACUCAAAUGUCGAAAAAUUAUAAAUUAAAGUUUUUUGGUGCAUAUAAAAAUAUCAGUUUUUUGUAAUUGUAAAUCAAAUGAAGUCACAUGUCAAACGUCGGCACAAUAAAUCACGCCACUAAUCAGCACUGAUCACUA